UACGGGGGGAGCAAGCGUUGUUCGGAUUUACUGGGCGUAAAGGGCGCGUAGGCGGCCACUGCAAGUCAGUUGUGAAAUCUCCGGGCUUAACCCGGAAAGGUCAACUGAUACUGCAGGGCUAGAGUGCAGAAGGGGCAACUGGAAUUCUCGGUGUAGCGGUGAAAUGCGUAGAUAUCGAGAGGAACACCAGUGGCGAAGGCGGCUCACUGGCCCGGUACUGACGCUGAGGUGCGAAAGCGUGGGGAGCAAACAGG
rnacentral:rRNA from 1 species